UCUUUCUUUCUCUCUUUCCUUGCAGAACACUCAGAGACGCUAUGAAGAACACUACAGUAAAACACUCUCUUGCAGAAUAACAAAGCAAAAAACGAGAGAAAAGAUAAAACAAACGAAAAAAAGCUGAUAAAAUAUAAAAAAACUAACGAAACACAAGACUUUUUAAUAGUGGUUGGGAAGUGGCUUUCUCUAUGGCCAUGGGGUACGAGAGUGGUCUGAGAAUGGUCUGACCGUGGCCCCGUUGUGUGUGUUACUCCCCAAAGCUGUAUAUGGCAUCGUGGCGGCCAUACGGGGAAGAGCUACGGGAAGGACGGUAGUGGUUGUCAUUUCGCGGGGAUCAGAGGAUGCGGGCGCGGUUUUAUCAGCAACUGUAACAUCGGCGGGGCUGAGAGAGGUGUUACGGGACGGUGAAUUGUAUCAGUGACUCGAGAAACUUGGUGCAGUGUGUUGUGUGUGGCUGUGUGUGAACCCCCUUGAAAUGCUGUGACUCUUGCUACUGAAGGUCAAAUAAAUGGAAUCAGUGAAAGGCCUCCGUUGAAUUCCGCCACUACAAGUCUAUUCCUACAAGACUUUGAGAUGAUAUUAAAAAACGUGUGUGGCUGUAUGUAAACCUCUUGAAAUACUGUGACUCUUGCUACUGAAGGUCAAAUAGAUGGAACCAGUGAAAGGACUCCAUUGAAUUCCGCCGCUACAAGUCUAUUCCUACAAGACUUGGAGAUUAUUAAAAAAAACGUGUUUGGCUGUAUGUAAACCUCUUGAAACGCUUUGAUUCUUGCUACUGAAGGUUAAAUAAACGGAACCAGUGAAAGAACUCCAUUGAAUUCCGCCGCUACAAGUCUAUUACUACAAGACUUGGGGAUUAUAUUAAAGGUACACAGAGCAAUCUUAAUCUACGCUUCACAAAAUACUUAAGACUCGUGUGAGACUCGCUUAGGUAGCACGUGUGAACUCCAAAAACCCUUAAAACUGCCCUAAACCCCUAAGGAAACUCUCAUGUCCUUGACAGUGUGCUAAGCUUUCCCUGACGUGCCCCUGAGACCCUGAACAGCUAUCUAAGGGGUCCUGUUGCCUUUGAAGGGUUGUAAGGGGGAAACAGACUCCUCAAAGACACAUACUUAACUUGACCGUGGCUUCUUUUUUCCUCCUCCUUCACCAUGACGGAUGCUGCUCCCGCGCCUCUCACCCUCGCCACGCCCCCCGCGGCUGAUGGUGGCUCUGGUGUGCUCCCCCUGCCCCCGACGCCCCCCGACUCGGCCUCUGAUAUGACCCUGCUCACCUCCACAACCUCCACCUCCUCCACCACCUCCAACAACAACAACGAUGACAACAACAACACGGACACCACGCCCCCCGGCUCUCCCAAAUCAGCUUUACAAAGCAAGAGAGAGAUGUUCUUCAAAUCAGAGGCAGGCAGUGGCGGUGGUGGUGGUGGCGGCCCCCCUCUAAGUGCCCCAUCCGCCGCUCCCCCUGCUCCACCCGUCAGUGCCCCCUCAACAGCGCCUCCCCCACCCCCCUCUUCCACCACCCCUGCCCCCGCCGCCCCCACCUCGGCGCCCCCAGCGAGUGUGGCCUCCAUCAAGGAACAGCUCAUGACCACCAAGGAGAGGAAAGACCACAAGGAAGAGGAAAAUAAAGAGAACAAGCUGGUGAAGGAGCUGGUGAGAGAGCGGCGCCCGAGGGAGGUGGAUGGCUACGUGGGUUUCGCUAACCUCCCCAACCAGGUGUACCGUAAGGCUGUCAAGAGAGGUUUCGAGUUCUCCCUCAUGCUUGUCGGUGAGAGUGGGCUGGGCAAGAGCACGCUAAUCAACUCCAUGUUCCUGGCUGACAUUUACUCCAACGAUCACCCGGGGCCUUCCCACCGAGUGAAGAAAACUGUGCAGGUGGAAACGACCAAGGUGCUGCUGAAGGAGAACGGGGUCAACCUGAUGCUGACAGUUGUGGACACGCCGGGCUUUGGUGAUGCCGUGGACAACAGUGACUGCUGGCAGCCAGUCACCAACUAUGUGGAAUCCAAGUAUGAGGAGUACCUGAACUGCGAGUCUCGGGUGAAUCGGACGCAGAUCAGCGACACCAGGGUCCACUGUUGCCUGUAUUUCAUCGCUCCAUCUGGUCAUGGCCUGAAGCCGCUAGACGUGGAGUACAUGCGACGGCUGCACGACAAGGUGAACAUCAUUCCCGUCAUAGCCAAGGCCGACACGCUCACCCCCGACGAGUGCCAGCACCUCAAGAAACAGGUCCUGAAUGAAAUAGCGCAGCACAAGAUCAAGAUUUAUGAGUUCCCUGACGAGGAGGGAGAUGCCACCAGCACCAAGAUGAAGCAGCGGGUUCCCUUCGCUGUGGUCGGCUCCAACACCACGGUGGAGGUGGACGGGAAGAAGGUCCGGGGCAGGAAGUACCCUUGGGGAGUUGUGGAAGUGGAGAACAUCGAGCACUGUGACUUCAUCCCUCUGCGCAACAUGAUGAUCCGGACACACAUGCAGGACCUCAAGGACGUCACCAACAACGUCCACUACGAGAACUACCGCUGCCGCAAGCUGGCCGGGGUGGGCGGAACGGACGGCAAGAUUAAGAUGACCAAUAAGAACCCACUAGCACAAAUGGAGGAGGAGAAGAAGGAGCACACAAACCGCAUGAAGAAGAUGGAGAUUGAAAUGGAGCUGGUGUUUGAGAUGAAGGUGAAGGAGAAAAUGACAAAGAUCAGCGACCUUGAGAAUGAUCUUGAGAAACGUAAAGAGUCAAUGCGCAAGAAAUUGGAGGCAGACUUUACAGAGCUUGAGGAAGAGCGGGAGAGGUUUGAGAAGGAGCGCAAGGCUUGGGAGGCGGCAAAUGGCACCACUGUGGAUGAACUGAGGCGCAAAUCCCUCGAGUCCAUAAGCAGAGACAAAUGGAGCUCUCGAUCAAGUUUGCAUUUCUGGCACCGCUAGUUCGCUCCCGCUUGUUGCCCUCAUCCCUAAGCUUUAGUCCAGCCGCCCCAUGUGCCAAGGGUGUGUAGGACGCCACCUCACCUUUGUUUUGCUCGCAGAAGCUUGGCAUGUGGAUGGGAAAGAGAAACCCAAAAAGAGGAAAGGACUGUUUUAAAAAGCAAUGCUGCAGUUUCCACUACCUUAAAACAACACCUUACCUGCCAAACAAAAAAAGAACAAAAAAAUAUUACUGCUUCAACCACUUCAUUCCAUACUUCUUCACUUGCCCCUCCAUUCCCUUCAGUCCCUCCACACUUGUACCCAUUGCUAUCCCUCUCCAAUCAGCCCCUUUCCUUAGUCCAUCCCACCCCCCAACACACCUCUUCCCCUCUCCACCCUCUGUUUUCAAAGACCCUCAGAAAUUUCCUCAAAGUUCCCUGUGCCUGAGAACAUUAGUGUCUUGUUGGAGUGUCAGUAGCCCGGCAAGGGAGGCAGCGGCGGCAGCGCCAACACCAAACUGUCACGGCACUGUGUGGCAUGAAACACCAUCCCAGCAGUGCCACACCUGCCUAUAAUUAAGUUAGCUGUCUGCACCAAGGCCAACUCUCAGUGCCUAUGGAGUGUGACUGUGUUCUUGAAAGAAUAUAUGGCCUGUCUGCCUUGAUGCUUCUGUACACACCUUGUGUACUUGUGAAAAGCUUACUUGCACCUGAAAACUGUGCCAACAAACUUUAAAAACAAGAAAAAUGACAAGGUUGAAACUCUUAACACCCUGAGUGGCAGGGCUGGCAGACAUGUCCAUCUGGGAGGUCAUGCCAUGGACCAUGUUCCCCUGCGGCAAGGAUGUGACGCUGAGGGCCGCCCUCGUGAAGUGCUGCUGCUCAUCUACUGCUGCCACAUCAACACUGACUGCCCAUAGUGCUGGUCCAUUGUGGGCUUGUGUGUCAGGCAGGGCACUCACCACUGCCCACUUCAAAGCCAUCCUCAUCCCCUUCCUGCCACCUUGUAUCAUCUCCCACACUCCCCUUGACAUCCCUCAACACAUCCCCAUGUAUCCCUCCACAGUCUCAUGUGGUUAUGUAGCUCCAUACAUCCUCCCUACCACCAACACCAUUACAUAACAUGUCCAUAGAUUUUAUUCAGUUUGUUACAGCCUCAUCUAAAACAACAUGAUAUCACCCUUUUUUCCUUGCCUCCCUUCACAGCACCCCAAAGUUCCCCAUAAAUGUCAUAACUUUAUUUGAAUCCCCCUUGACAUCCCCAUCAUCUCCUCUCAGCCUCUCUACUGCCUUUAAGUUUAUCUCCUGUGGUGGUUCAUUCCAGUGUGCUGGCAUGUGCCCUCCCUGCCUCCCACCCUCACACUCAGGCAUCCCACCUAAUGCUCCUCUGCAGUGCUGGGGGUGGGAGGGGCAGGGGUGCUGUGGUGAGGUGCUGUGGAGGUCUGUACAUCCCUGCCACCUCCCCCCAUGCCACAACCCACAAGUAGUAGUUAGUUCAUAUUCAUCUGUGUCUCAAGGGGAGGGAAGAAGAAGAACCUGUUUACGUCUUGCCCUCCCUCCCUACCAGGCACACUCGAGUUAAAGAUGAGGUACAGGAUGUGCUCUGACUCCUCACACCAUGCCCUUCACUGGCCUGUCUCACACCUCAUCAGCACUUGUUAAUUUCCACCUUUGCUUUUUGCUCAGUGUCCGUCAAGCAGAAUGUGCAUAGGUCCCUCAACGCCAAUGUUUGUGUCAGCCACCAUCCAUGUGCAGGCUUUGAAGACAGGCCGAGUGGCUGCCUGACACUGGUGGUUUACUUGAAGCCAGUAUGUGUUAUGACUUGCCAUGUAUGAUGUGUCUGUUGACCUACAUAGCUGUAUUUUUUAACUGAUCAGAGACCCACUUGACUUCCUCAUAACUGCUUCUUGUCCAUGCUUAAGUUGUCUGCCAGGAGUGCGUUUCGUGUUCAUGUAGAAAUCAUAACCCUCUAAGACAUCGAUUGGACUGCAACGUAACAAUGCUUCCUUGUCCCUGCCGGAGUCGUCUGCCGUGGGGGUGGUGGGCUGGCCAGGGACCUAGUGAGGGGCUAGGCUAGGGGCACCUCAAAGGCUGGCUGGGCUGUGUUGGACCACUAGAUUAAAUAUGGGGGAAACUUUUUCAUUUGUAAGACAUAGAAUAGCUGCCCUUGCCUUUCUUUGCCCCCUCUGACCCUCCCUGGGGCCAGGUCAGCACGGGUCAGGGGUCACAUCCUUACAUGGUGUAAAUAGUGUACUUACAACUGUAGGAGGUUUAAGUCUGUGUAAACAAAGGGUAUUAUUAGACUUUUUUUUUUUUUUUUUUUUUUUUUUUUAGUUCUGCCUUCAAUUUCCUACUGUAUUAAUAGUUUACUUUUAUUUUAUUAUUUUUGGUUAUCAUGAUUAUGAUAAUUAACAUCUUCAUCCUUUCAACUAGUCGUUAUUCCUACAUACAUUUUUUUAUUUUAUUUUAUUUCAUAUUGUAUUCAGUUCACUGUUUGGCCCACUGCCACUGAACUGUAAAUAAGUGUAUACAUUUAUAUUGUUCAAACAACCAGCCUCUCCAAGGCCUGUUUGUAGCCUCUUCUUAUUUAUCUCUCAAUAAAGUGUGUGCUCUGC